UACAGAGGUCUCAAGCGUUGUUCGGAUUCAUUGGGCGUAAAGGGUGCGUAGGCGGCCUUGUAAGUCAGUGGUGAAAUACUCUAGCUUAACUAGAGGGGUGCCAAUGAUACUGCAGGGCUUGAGUACAGAUGAGGUAGGCGGAAUUGACGGUGUAGCGGUGAAAUGCAUAGAUAUCGUCAAGAACACCUAUAGCGAAGGCAGCUUACUGGGCUGUAACUGACGCUGAGGCACGAAAGCUAGGGGAGCAAACAGG
rnacentral:rRNA from 1 species